rnacentral:misc_RNA from 1 species
GUAGGUGAACCUGCGGAAGGAUCAUUAUGAAUUAAUAAUAUUUGUGAAAUUUCAACAAACAACAUCAAUUUUAUAGUCUAUUAUUUUUAAUUAAAACUUUUAACAAUGGAUCUCUUGGUUCUC